rnacentral:rRNA from 1 species
UGAGCAAUCUGCCCUUCUCUUCGGAAUAAGCGUUGGAAACGACGUCUAAUGCCGAAUACGACCUCCUUUCGCAUGAUCGGAGGUGGAAAGCUCCGGCGGAGAAGGAUGAGCUCGCGGCCUAUCAGCUAGUUGGUGUGGGUAAUGGCCCACCAAGGCGACGACGGGUAGCCGGCCUGAGAGGGUGACCGGCCACACUGGGACUGAGACACGGCCCAGACCUCCGUACGGGAGGCAG